UCCGCCUACAAUUCCAUCCAGGCUCGCUAAUCUGCAUCCAUGUUUCUUUUCUGUUCUCUUCCCAAUCUGACCUGUUCACAUAAUUUUAUACGGCCAUAUUUUAGAUAGGCUCUUGAUGAGUGCACCAUGUAUCCAUGGUUGCAAAAUGAUUCCUGAGAUUUCCUUGGUAAAAUUUCUGGAAUAUUUUAGUUGUACAUAAAUUGGUUGUGCCAUCAUAACCAUUUGUUUAUUCGCUAGUAUAAAAAUACCAAAGUGAAUUCUCUAUACAUACAUACAAGAAGCACCUCUUUAAUUAGUAAUUUGCUGGUAGAAUCAUCGAUCUGUUAUUACUUGACAUAAGAAAGCUAUUACAAAUGCUAUAGGCAAUUGCGUGGAAAUUGAUCUGCGAAAUUGUUGUCGAGAUAGGUAAUCAAAUACUUGAGAACAGUUGCUCUUUAAGAUUUCCUGAGCUUUACUCUGGGUGCUCAAGUGAAGCAAUUACUUCUCACUGAAGGGUCUGUUUCUUUACUGGACUGGUCAUGUUGUUCCUAUUUUCUCUUUUAUUCAGAUAUACCUUGGAUUUCUAAAUAAGAAAGAGGUAUGCUGAACAAGAUUCAGGUCGUGCUAAGACAUCAACAAUCUAUGCCGACAAGCCUCCACUAUCUAUUGCAGAAAUGAAGAACCGAUGGCUGGUGAUGUUCAGAAUAAUAAGGGAAGUGCCUUAAACCUGAAUAUCAAAUGAAAAGUUGAGCUGCACGUUGGGGUAUCCGUUCAAGUGGUUGAUGGCUAAUGUAUGAUGGAUAAAGAGUAGCGUCUUGGUAUUUAUGGUUGUGAGAAGAAAAGUGGACCUCAAUGCUACCGUACAAUUAAUAGGAUACUAUGUUGCUUCCAGCCCGUGGAUAAGAAUGUUUUAGUC